rnacentral:lncRNA from 1 species
AUUGGCACUUUUUUGUUAACAAUUAAUGUCUUUUUCUAAUUUUUAUCAUUUUACAGUGACAACUAAUUUGUUCUGGCUUUUAGGAUGUGAAUUUUUAAAAAUGCAAGUAAUCGUUAUUUGGGAAACCUGCACUGACAAGAUUGAACAAUUAUAUACAGAGCUGAAAAGAUGUUAGCAUACGCAAAUGCCGAAUAAGAAAGAGCCAAUGUUGCGAGAUCUUGAAGUGUUUUCUAAUUUUUUGCGACAAAGGUGGUACUAAUAUAGUACCUUUGCAUUAUUUCUACAACAAUUUCGGGAUUUUCGGAAUGAGAGUUGUAGAAUACACGCACAUGUUAAAUUUCGGCUACAAUCAUCAGAAUGAAUAAGAUUCUCGCAACAAUAUCCCCUAGGAAAUGAGACAACGAACAGCUACAAUUGACACACUGGAACUUUCAACCCUUAAUGUCGGCGUGACGACCCAACUUGUCCAGAUGAGCUUCUGGGGAAUGGAUUGUCUUCGACGUGGCUGGAAAUUCCAGGUAGAGGGGGCAUUAAAAAAUUCGCAAGGAUUUUUAUCUUCAGAUAAGUUGCUAACUACCCAGUUAUGUAUAAUCGAAUCGAUAAGAUGUUUUAAUAGCACAUAAUUUCCCAAUAACACGAAAGGAACAAACAGUUGAUGAAUCCAAUCCCAUAUCAAGGAAUUUUAGAUGCAUGGUUGAAAUAUGGCCAAUGAGGAAAAUAAUACAACUAUAUGAACUUGAUACAUAAAACACAAACGAUACCAACAAUUCUAAAUUCUAAACUUAACUGGCUAGCGAAGCGUCCUGAUUUAAUGAUAAGACAGUACAUGAUCAGUGGAAGACCUUAGCAAGACUGAAGUAAAUCGUUGGUUAACGCGUUAAAUACACACUGACACGAUCCGAAUUUUAGCUUUCCCGGAAUAAAAGUUUAGGGAAGAGGAAAGAAAUUUUGAAGGUCGAAUGAUUUCCACGUGAUUUCGGAGAUAUGGCCGUUCCCCUUCUUUUGACCCAAUCUCGUUCAAUGACCCAUAAUGCACAAACAACCUUUUCAAUUCAAUGACAAAAUCACCUGGGCAAUUCAAUGACAAAAGAAUCCAAUCCGAUUUUUCCAUCAUUCCAAUCCGAUCAAUUCAUCAUUUUCUUCAGUGCCACGAAAAUCCCGAUCGAACGAGAGAUUAGUGCCGACACUCCGAAAAUCACCGCGCCAUCAACGCCAUGUAUGGGGUAAAAUCUCAGAAAAAGUGUCGAGGUAAUAACGGAGCAGUCCGCGGUCGAGUCCCCGUUUUUUUCGGCUGAACGACAAAGGAGGGUGGAGCAGUUUCAAAUUUUGCAUGAAAAUGGCAUUUCUUGCCUUCAUACAGAGUAGUCCGGUCGGGCUAGCAAAAAGUGUAUGUUGAACCCCAAACAAAUUGUAAUAAGUUUUUUUUUACAUGAGCUGUGUUUAUAUCCCUUUGAUCUAUGCCCAGUUAAAAAGCUCCCGAAAAAUAUUAAUAUUUAGUGUACUUAUUUUAAUUUUUAAAAUAUGCGUGUUUUUGUGAAUCGAUUAAAACUAUUAAAAUACAAGAAAAUAGA